ACUAUGACUGUUCUGAUAAAAGCAAAUAAAAAACAAACAAGAAAUUAGCUAGGUAAAGAGGAGGGAACAGCCUGCCUGGCAACAGGAAGGGCUCUGGAAAGGUCUGCAGGCAGGAAGAGCUGAGCCUCAGAGGAACUGGAAGCAGAUUAGUGGGGUUUGCAAGGAGAGAGGUAAAUUGGAGACGGGGGAAGUCAGGCGCGUCUUUGCAAACCUUGGUGGAUCAUCGGAUGGGCAGGAACAGACUGCUUAAAAAUCAAACGACUGUUGGGCAAAAUGUGAGCCGGUAAAGGAGGAUGAAGAAAACAAAGCCCUUCUGAGCUCUCUCCUCAGGCUUCCCACCCAAUCAGAAAGGGAAUCUGUCAUGCCCACAAGCAUGCCAAAAACGCAGUGUUCGGG
rnacentral:lncRNA from 1 species